rnacentral:rRNA from 1 species
UACGGAGGGCGCAAGCGUUAUUCGGAAUCAUUGGGCGUAAAGCGCGUGUAGGCGGUUUGGUAAGUCAGACGUGAAAGCUCCGGGCUUAACUCGGAAAGUGCGUUUGAUACUGCCAGACUUGAGUUCGGGAGAGGAAAGUGGAAUUCCCAGUGUAGAGGUGAAAUUCGUAGAUAUUGGGAGGAACACCGGUGGCGAAGGCGACUUUCUGGACCGAUACUGACGCUGAGACGCGAAAGCGUGGGGAGCAAACAGG